rnacentral:rRNA from 1 species
AUUGAACGCUGGCGGCAGGCCUAACACAUGCAAGUCGAACGAGUGGCGGACGGGUGAGUAAUGUCUGGGAAACUGCCUGAUGGAGGGGGAUCACUACUGGAAACGGUAGCUAAUACCGCAUACCAUCAGAUGUGCCCAGAUUGGAUUAGCUGGUGGGUUGGGUAACGGCUCACCAAGGCGACGAUCCCUAGCUGGUCGGCGAGGAGGACCAGCCACACUGGUACGUGUACACGGUCCAGACUCCUACGGGAUGCAGCAGUGGGGAAUAUUGCGCAAUAGACGAAAGCCUGAUGCAGCCAUGCCGCGUGUAUGAAGAAGGCCUUCGGAUUGUAAAAGACUUUCGGCCGGUAGGCGUUACCCGCAGAAGAAGCCCCGGCUAACUCCGUGCCAGCAGCCGCGGUAAUAC